rnacentral:rRNA from 1 species
UACGUAGGGUGCGAGCGUUAUCCGGAAUUAUUGGGCGUAAAGAGCUCGUAGGCGGUUUGUCGCGUCGACUGUGAAAACCUACAGCUUAACUGUGGGCUUGCAGUCGAUACGGGCAGACUUGAGUUCGGUAGGGGAGACUGGAAUUCCUGGUGUAGCGGUGAAAUGCGCAGAUAUCAGGAGGAACACCGGUGGCGAAGGCGGGUCUCUGGGCCGAUACUGACGCUGAGGAGCGAAAGCGUGGGGAGCGAACAGG